rnacentral:lncRNA from 1 species
UUGUGCGUUGGCUGAUUGGGUUGUUAACAUGUGAUUUGUCUGUUCUAACGUGUCCUGUACAGAGACGUGUGUCUGAUCACAUGCUACAUGGACAGUGGUAUAUAUGUACGUGCCGGUUUAGAUUGGAUGGGUUGUACUGUUUGGGAGACUGCUACGUCAUUCAUUGGCAGCACCGUUUGUGGGUAGCUUGACGUGUAUGUGCCGUGUUAGACUGUCAGGCGGUGCCGCUAUUGUCGUACGUCCUCGAAGUUGUGUCUGUCGAUCGUUCUGCAUGCUUCUCUAGAAAAC